rnacentral:lncRNA from 1 species
ACCCACGCGGCGCAGCUCCCAAAGUUGCAGACAGCCCGGCGAACCGCGCAAUGCGCUUCUUCUGCCUGCAGCAGAGAAAAGGAAAGAAAACUCCGCAGGGGCUCCGUUGGCUUCUCCACGAGUGACAACCAUGUUUUCCCAGAUAGAAGACCGGAGCCCUGCUCCUUUGCGAUCCGCCGAGGGCUGCAGAGAGCAUCCUCAUCCAUUUGGGCACCCCUGCCCAGGAAGAGCCCGGCCAUCCCUUUCCGGACUGGAUCCUUAAGAGGUGAAUUUUCUUCCGUGGAUUCCGAUUUGCUCCGUCUGACCAGCCUAGGCAAUCCAGCAUCGCGUGGUACCAGUGCCGCUGGGCACACUGGCUUCACGCCGGCUCCGCCUCACCAGCAAGCGCAUUCCCAGAGGAGAAAAUGAGACACUGAGUGGGACUCAGGGAUUGCUCCAGGCCACACAGUCAGCAGGAGGCAAAGCCCAGAUUCAAAUGCAGAUUACUCAGCUCCACAAUCCACAUCCUCACAGGAGGCUGCACUCCUUGCCCAAGCGUCAGACAGGAGCAAAGAGAAAGAAGGCAACCAGCUGGCUACUUUCUUCCCUUCUUGGAUGCCUCCAACAGGAUAAAACACUAACUCAGAGAAGAAAUUUAACUGCAAAUUUGGUUAAUGACCAUGGAUUCCUAAUGAGAAGAAAAGCUAGACACUGAGAGUUUAGAAUAAACUCAAGAAUCUUAAAAAUUUUCCCAUGGAACUGCCUUUGCACCUCUAUAAAAAAUUAAUUGACCAUAUGGUAAGUAACAUGUGAGUUUACAUUGAGGAUAGAUGAGCCUUUGGACAAAAUUAGAGUGAUUUAAUUUUACAAUAAAAACAACUCUAUGUCUUUUUCUUGGUUCUGUCAUCAUGUAAAAAAUAAUGCUUGCAAAAUUUUUUAUUAACACAACACUUGGGCUUAAUUUCCAAUAAUUUCUAUUUUUAAAAUGUCUUCCAUUAGUGUCUUGGAUCUUGGAAGAUAUAAUUCUGUCUGGAAAAUUUUUAAGACAAGAUAAAAAAUAUAUAUAUAUACACACACACAUACAUACAUAUAUAUGUGUAUAUAUAAAUAAUUUAAAUGAAAUUGUCUUGACACAUGUUUUUCAAAGAGUAUAAUCUUGUGAACUUUUCUAAUACUACAAAUCACAGGAUUUAAUCUUCUGACUUAAAUUGUACUUUCCAGAUAUUUAGUCACUCUAAGAUGUUAAACUAAUGUUAAAUUGUUUUAUUUAAUGAAUAAUCUUUGGAUAUAUAAUUUUUCUAUAAGAAAAAACAGAAAACUUUGAUUAUUAGAUAUAAUUUUAAAUUUCUUUUACCUUUAUACAUAAAAUCACUACAGAUUAAGGAGAUGUACAAAUGUCCUUAAAUUAUAUUAAAUGCACUUACUUUGCCAUCUUAAAAUUUAUUUAAGUAAAAUAACAUAUAUGCUCAUAAAAAUAGUUUUAUUGAUCUUGGUUACCUAUCUUCUAGUUUUCUCUUGUGUCUGGAAAAAUAAAAGUUGGUUAAUUUUGUUAAAGGUGGUAAUUAAUAAAAUCGACUAUGCAGACAUUUAUACAUUUACUUAUACAUAAAAAUAUAUUUAUGUACUUUAAUCUCUAUAUUACUCUUCUAAUUCAAUUUUUAAAGUAAAGUUCCAUUUUUCUGUAUGGUUCUAUGAGUGUAACACAUGCACAGAUUCUUGUAAGCUUCAUCACAAAUAGGUUAUAGAACAAUUCCACACCUUCCCCAAAAUGUCUCUUUUCCUGCUCAGUAGAUAGUCAAACUCUCCCCUCAGGCCUAAGCCUUGCAACCACUGAUCUUCUUUCCCUCUAUUUUUGCCGUUUUUAGAAUGUCAUACAUAUUUAGCCUUUUAAGAUUUACUUCUUUAACUUAGUAAAUGCAUUUGAGAUUCAA